UCCAUGUCUGCUGCCAGCGUCGGGCCAUUGAGGGCCAUUGAGGGCACAGAGAAGAAACCACUGAAACCCUGUUGUGCGUGCCCUGAGACGAAGAAAGUCAGGGAUGUUUGUGUGCCGUUGGGGGCCGGCUGUCCGGAAGGAGACCUGGGAAAUUUCUUGUUUGUAUUUAUACUGCAACCUGAAUGGAAGAUGUGAUCUCUGCAAGGAUGGUGUUCCACUGAGUGAAAUGUAUUGGCUUAAUGCUCAGAUUUUCUGAAUGAUGUGAAUCUUGUUCUGCUGAUUAGAAUUAAAUAUAUGUCCUAUGCAAAAUGACUUUGUUUUUAUAUGGCAGGAUGAACCACAAUUUAAAUGAAUUGUAUAGGUAGUGUUAAAGGGGCAAUCUGCAGUGGUUACAUCCAUUUUUAUACUAAUAAACAAAUCAUAUGUA